rnacentral:tRNA from 1 species
GGGCGCGUAGCUCAAUUGGCAGAGCAAGUGACUCUUAAUCACUAGGUUGCAGGUUCGAUUCCUGCCGCGCUCACCA